rnacentral:rRNA from 1 species
AGUGAACGCUGGCGGUAGGCCUAACACAUGCAAGUCGAACGGCAGCACAGUAAGAGCUUGCUCUUACGGGUGGCGAGUGGCGGACGGGUGAGGAAUACAUCGGAAUCUACUUUUUCGUGGGGGAUAACGUAGGGAAACUUACGCUAAUACCGCAUACGACCUACGGGUGAAAGCAGGGGAUCUUCGGACCUUGCGCGAUUGAAUGAGCCGAUGUCGGAUUAGCUAGUUGGCGGGGUAAAGGCCCACCAAGGCGACGAUCCGUAGCUGGUCUGAGAGGAUGAUCAGCCACACUGGAACUGAGACACGGUCAAGACUCCUACGGGAGGCAGCAGUGGGGAAUAUUGGACAAUGGGCGCAAGCCUGAUCCAGCCAUACCGCGUGGGUGAAGAAGGCCUUCGGGUUGUAAAGCCCUUUUGUUGGGAAAGAAAAGCAGCAGGUUAAUACCCCGCUGUUCUGACGGUACCCAAAGAAGAAGCACCGGCUAACUUCGUG